GAAUUUUGCGCAAUGGGGGAAACCCUGACGCAGCAACGCCGCGUGGAGGAAGAAGGUUUUCGAAUCGUAAACUCAUGUCCGGAGGGACGAAAAAAAUGACGGUACCUCUGGAGGAAGCCCCGGCUAACUCCGUUCCCGCAGCCGCGGUAAUACGGGGGGGGCGAGCGUUGUUCGGAAUUACUGGGCGUAAAGGGCGCGUAGGCGGUUUCAGAAGUUUUGGGUGAAAGCCCCCGGCUCAACCGGGGAAGUGCCUGGAAAACCAUGGUACUGGAGUGCUGGAGAGGCAAGCGGAAUUUCUGGUGUAGCGGUGAAAUGCGUAGAUAUCAGAAGGAACAUCUGGGGCGAAGGCGGCUUGCUGGACAGACACUGACGCUGAGGCGCGAAAGCUAGGGGAGCAAACGGG
rnacentral:rRNA from 1 species